rnacentral:tRNA from 1 species
UCCCCGAUAGCUCAAUGGUAGAGCGGCUGGCUGUUAACCAGUAGGUUGCAGGUUCGAGUCCUGCUCGGGGAGCUA